GGGUAUAGAGCUCAGUUGGUAGAGUAUUUGCCUUGCAUGCACAAGGCCCUGAGUCCCAUCCUCAGUACCA
rnacentral:tRNA from 1 species